rnacentral:misc_RNA from 1 species
CACCACUCAAGCCUGGCUUGGUAUUGGGCGGCGGGGUGUACCCGCGCCUGAAUUUCACCGGCGAAACGACCCGUAUCUCAGCGUUGUGGUAAUCAAUCUCGCUGGCGAGAAGGGGCGGCUCACGCCGUUAACCAAAACUUUUUAAUCAGG